AUUAAACGCUGGCGGCAUGCCUUACACAUGCAAGUCGAACGGCAGCACGGGGGCAACCCUGGUGGCGAGUGGCGGACGGGUGAGUAAUGCAUCGGAACGUGCCCUGAAGUGGGGGAUAACGCAGCGAAAGCUACGCUAAUACCGCAUAUUCUGUGAGCAGGAAAGCAGGGGAUCGCAAGACCUUGCGCUUUGGGAGCGGCCGAUGUCGGAUUAGCUAGUUGGUGGGUAAAGGCCUACCAAGGCGACGAUCCGUAGCGGGUCUGAGAGGAUGAUCCGCCACACUGGGACUGAGACACGGCCCAGACUCCUACGGGAGGCAGCAGUGGGGAAUUUUGGACAAUGGGCGGAAGCCUGAUCCAGCCAUGCCGCGUGAGUGAAGAAGGCCUCGGUUGUAAGA
rnacentral:rRNA from 1 species